rnacentral:lncRNA from 1 species
CCCUUUCCACUUGACAAAGUAUUCAGUGUAGCUUGGGUGAGUCCCCCGUCUUGGAAUGAUGCUGUGCGCAAGGAUCUCUUCUGCUUCUUUCUCUGGCACCGUUGUGAUGGCAGUUGGUGCUCGCUUAGACUCUCCUCGACUUGGAUCUUCCUUGUCUUGAUGAUAUGGCUUCAAAAGACUCACAAGGAGGACCGGAUGCAUUUCUAAAUGUGAUGGAAGAGUCAAGCGGUAGGCUAGUUUGCCAAUGCGUUU